rnacentral:rRNA from 1 species
AGUCACUGACAUUUAGAUACCCCCGUAGUCCAGGGUGUAAACGCUGCAGACUUGGUGUUGGGGGCCCUUUGGGGGCAUUCAGUGCCGGAGAGAAGUUGUUAAGUCUGCUACUUGGGGAGUACGUCCGCAAGGAUGAAACUUAAAGGAAUUGGCGGGGGAGCACCGCAACGGGAGGAGCGUGCGGUUUAAUUGGAUUCAACACCGUAAACUCACCAGGGAAGACUGUUACAUGAAGGCCGAGAUGAAGACUCUGCUAGAUUUUCAG